UUCACGGCAUGGUUUUAUCGAUUCGUGUGUUCAAGGUUAAUUUUAUUUGUUGUUAGCAAAGGGUUAUUGAUAUUUUUAUGGCUUCCGAGUAAUGGCUUUCCCUAAAUGUAUGGUUAUGCGAUGGAACGGUUUAUAUUACUGUGAUCAAAAUUGUGCGCUCUGCUUGAUUCAGUGACACGCUAAGCUUUAGGUCGGGUUUUAUACACAGGGUUUGGUGCGGACUAUUGUAGCUACUCUGAGAAUGUUUAUUGUUAUCCAGGCCUAUUAGCAAUAUUAUACGCUUUAAAAAAAUGCCAUGUUUAGCCAAUCUAUUUAUAUCAGCAGGAUAAGUGGGUGUUAUAUCUGUGGAGUUGUCCCCUCAUCUCCUCUGCGGUUUUGAAAAUGUUUUAUGAAACUGGUGUGAAAUGAAGAUCAUCACUUCCUCUUAUUCGCUGAUGCGCUUCCUUGGCCUGCUGCCCAGCCUCUUGUUAAAGGCUAAUCAAUAAUGGGCCUGCGUGCUAUUUAGACGGUAACUGAUACCGAGGUUAUUUUUCUUACGCUGAAACUGAGACGAAAACUAUGCGUGACAGAACAAAUGUGCUAGAGCCCGACCACAGGUUUCUCAACCAACCUACAUCAGAGGACAGUUGCGUGGAAUGUUAUCAAGAGCAGGAAUGCGUUAAAUGGCAUUGUCAGCCAGUGUGGGAAGACAAGUGGAGUAAGACAGAGGAGUUCGAUCUGUGUAACACUGGAAGGGCUACAUGAAAGUCAGAUCAACCAAUAAGGAUGGAGAUGCACACAGUGUCACAGUCACCUGACGCUUUGAUGGCUCCACCCACUUCCUGCCAUGGCUGCUGCAGGUUGUCUGGUUAGGACGGCAUCUAAGAAAGUGUAUGAAAAGCCCUUACAGACCCAGGAAAUCCUGGCAACAUACAGCUGACACAAAGUCUCAAUUUUGUGUAGAGAAAGUUAAAUGUGAUGCAAAAUUAAGAAGCUUACAUUGUUUGAUAGUAAGAAUACAUGCCAUUCUGUAGCAGUGUCAUGCUAAGCAGAGAAAUCUGAGCAGCACUGGGCUUGCUUUGUAUUUUUGGAGUGCAGAACCCCUAAGAAAGAUCAGGUUGCUGCUGAAAGUGGUGUCUGUGGACCAGCAGGGGGCGCUUUUCCAUCUGGACCGAGUGAAAGCCCCAGUGCAGUCUUUUCUAUGAUCUAAGCACUGCGUUCAAAAAGGUCCUGACGCACUGUAGUUACUAAGACUCCAAUGGCAGUUACCGAAAGACAAGGGGUGAAAAACCUUGGUGUCAUAGUGAUAUUUACAAACUGGCUCUCAAACUCAAAAUCUGACCAGUUGAUCUUGAUGUUGAUCGCUGAUUGUCUACAAAGUCCCUUCCCACCUCUAUCCCUCUAGUUUGCCUCUAAAAGAGUCCUGGCAUUCUCUGCCGACCACCCUGUCUAAGCAAACAAAUGAAUAAAUAAACGAGUGAAUAAAUA